CCUACGGGAGGCAGCAGUGGGGAAUCUUGCGCAAUGGGCGAAAGCCUGACGCAGCAACGCCGCGUGAGCGAAGAAGGCCUUCGGGUUGUAAAGCUCUGUCAGGAGGGACGAAGCCACUCGGGUGAAUAGCCCAGAGGGUGACGGUACCUCCAAAGGAAGGUCCGGCUAACUACGUGCCAGCAGCCGCGGUAAUACGUAGGGACCUAGCGUUGUCCGGAUUCAUUGGGCGUAAAGCGCGUGUAGGCGGCUUGCUAAGUCUGGUGUGAAAACUCGGUGGCUCAACCCCGAGCCUGCACUGGAAACUGACUUGCUAGAGCCCGGAAGAGGGGAUUGGAAUUCCUGGUGUAGCGGUGAAAUGCGCAGAUAUCAGGAAGAACACCCGUGGCGAAGGCGGAUCCCUGGGACGGUACUGACGCUGAGACGCGAAAGCGUGGGGAGCAAACAGGAUUAGAUACCCUGGUAGUCCACGCCGUAAACGAUGGGCACUAGGUGUGGGAGGUGUCGACUCCUCCCGUGCCGCAGCUAACGCAUUAAGUGCCCCGCCUGGGGAGUACGGUCGCAAGACUAAAACUCAAAGGAAUUGACGG
rnacentral:rRNA from 1 species